CCCCCCUACCCCCCCGCAGCCCCAGCGCCUCCCCGGGCCCCUCCCCAGAGACUUUGAUUUCAUCCCCCAAGCCCCGGGCUGGCUGGCAGGUGCGGGGGUGGGAGCCGUCUCCGCUGGAGCCGCUUUGCCAAAGGUCCGGCUGCUGACGUCGGAGCGCCAGCUCCUGUCAAUGAACGGCAGCGGCAGCCUGGGGACUGGCUGGCAACGAGGCUACAGACGUCAUCGCCUCCUGUUGGACGCGGGGGGGUGUCCGAGCCGCAGCUCCGGCUUAAAGGAAAACUCUCCAAGUUCCAGGCAGCCGGGGAGCGCCGUUCCCGACAAGCACAUGCUCCCACAGCCCGGUGCGCGCGGGCACACGGGCGGGCACACUCGCGCACUCGCACACACGCACACUCAGACACGCACGCACCCUCGCACCCGUGUUCCCUGUAGGUGUGCGGUCCAAAGUUGCGGCCGCAAGGAGGGUGAGCUGAGAUGGACCGGUCUUCCUUGGCGCCUGGAGCGCGCUCGACGAGGCUUUCCUGGAGACCCCCAGAAGGACAAGAGGGCAAGAGGAAAGACCCCCUCCGCUUAGAGUUGUCUCCCCGCUUUUCCGAGAUGACCAGCGCGAAAUGUGGACUGCCCCAAGCCUUUGGGACGUGCCUGCGGAGCGGAGCCGGAGCGAGUGUUCUUGGAGAGGUCGUGAACUCGGGCCACCCGGGCUCACGGUCAACUUGUUCUGCGCAGUUCUCAAUGGAGCCCCGGACCCACCGGCUCCUGGCUCGCCUGCUUCCCACCCCCUCUUUUUUGCUGCUCCUCUCUCUUUUAAAUGUGUGAAGUUGAAGUGGAAAGCAGAUAGGUGCUUCGUAUACUUUGGCGGGCCUGGCCCGGCAGCUGUGCUCCAGACGUCCCUUUCUGCUGCACACCCGAUGCGCUCUGUCACAGCUCUUCUGUUCUUCUGGUUGGAAUCCAGGCCUGCUGUGGGUGGGGCAAAAGGGAACAAAGUACAGAGACCACGUGGAGGCCACGAUGGAGAUCACCUUGUGCAGACGGCGGAAGCCGACAGAGACAGAAAGAAUUUCCUGGUGACUCAGUGAAGAUCCCAAGGAUGAUUCAACUUCCCGCCCUGUCGUCACACAUCCUGUGCGUGCCUGCUAACUCGCUUCAGUCCUGUCCAACUCUUUGUGACCCAUGGACUGCAGCCCGCCAAAGCUCCUCUGUCCGUGGGAGUGGGUUUACCGUGCCCUCCUCCAGGGGAUCUUCCUGACCCAGGGAUCCAACCCCUAUCCCUUACAUCUCCUGCAUUGGCAACGGGUUCUUCACCUCUAGCACUACCUGAGAAGGCCAUACGCAUCCUGCCGGUCGUCAGAAGAGGCGUUACGAUGGCUCAGCUGUGAAGAACCCUGUGCAGGAGACGUAAGAGAGGCGGGUUCAGUCCCUGGGUCAGGAAGAUGCCCUGGAGAAGGCAUCUUCAGUAUUCUUACUUGGAGAAUCCCAUGGACAGAGGAGCCUGGUGGGCUACACUCCACAGGUUGGCAAGAGUGGGACAUGCCUAAAAUGACUUAGAACACAUAUAUACACACAUCUGUAUAUUUACUUUAUGGGUGCCAGGGAAUCUUCUUUCUUAGAGAGAUUGAAAUGGACAUGCUUAAAAAAUUAAUAGCCGACUGAAGAGCUGUCAUUUCCAUUCCUCAUCUCAAGUUUUCUCUUACCUUUGGUCAGGGAUUCAAUUUAAACUGCAAGAGAGGCUGGUCCGAAAGAACUCACUGUGACUGAAGGACUAGAAUUUAGCAAAAUAUAUUGGAAAAUGGUAGUAUAUGGUAGACCAUGUGGGUAUACUUAUUAAGUGCAAAGAAAUACAAUUAUAAGGGGACAUUUUAAGGACUUUAAUUAUAAGGAUUCCUAUUGUUUAAUAACAAAUAUGCCUUUUAAAUUUACUAAAUAAAACCCAGUAUGUAAAGCA
ensembl:lncRNA